rnacentral:lncRNA from 1 species
UCACAUGUUGGAGGCCAGCCUCAGCUAUUUAGCAGGACCCUGUCUCAACAUGAAAAAAAUAAGUAAAAAAUAAAAAGGGAUGGAGCUCAGUGGUGAAGCACCCCUGGGUUCAAUCCCUGGUACCAGAUCAUCAUCAUUAUGUCUCGAGCAAGUUCUAGGUGAAACUGGAUCCCAGGAUUAAAGAUCCGGGCUGGGUGUCCAAGGGACGUGUGCCAACUCUGUUAUUAUGGCCAAAGUCUGUUUGGAUGUGUUGAGGUCCCUGCUGUACCUGUUGAUGUUUUGAAAACCAUCCAUUGGCAUCCCUCUUAAAACUCAUUACAGUUUUCCAUCUUGAGAACACACAGACUUGGAGGGAGAGUCGCAAAGAUGUCGGCAGAUCAUUCAGAGCCGCUUCAGCGAGAAAGAAGGGCGUUUGGGGUCUCUGACCUGCGGCCUGGUGGCUGGAGGGUAAUGUUCGCGCAGUGUGUUCUCAAAAAUCGCAAAGGGCAUAGAUUCCACACUUGCUCAACUCAAAAAUCAGUGUGCGAGUUGGGGCAUGUUAACAAGCUUGCUUUGACUGGUCCACCACGGAUCCAGAUCUCGAAAUUGUUGGGAGUGAACCAGCUCCAAAGACUAACUUCCCCAUCCCCCCGAGAAGAGCCGUCCAAUGGUGAGCCCUGCUGGCUCACAUGAUCCUUACCCACCAAUCAGACUAGCCCUGCUGGCUCACAUGAUCCUUACCCACCAAUCAGACUAGCCCUGCUGGCUCACAUGACCCUUACUCACCAAUCAGAAAGCACCCCGUGCCAACUGUCAAACCCUUCAACCAUUAAACUGUCAUAACUGUCAAACCACCCCCGGCUCUAUAAAUAUGCAGAGCUGUUCCUCAGUAAAUGGGCA